rnacentral:rRNA from 1 species
GUGGGGAAUUUUGGACAAUGGGCGCAAGCCUGAUCCAGCAAUGCCGCGUGCAGGAAGAAGGCCUUCGGGUUGUAAACUGCUUUUGUACGGAACGAAACGGUCCGGGUUAAUACCCUGGGCUAAUGACGGUACCGUAAGAAUAAGCACCGUCUAACUACGUGCCAGCAGCCGCGGUAAUACGUAGGGUGCAAGCGUUAAUCGGAAUUACUGGGCGUAAAGCGUGCGCAGGCGGUUUUGUAAGACAGGCGUGAAAUCCCCGGGCUCAACCUGGGAAUUGCGCUUGUGACUGCAAGGCUGGAGUGCGGCAGAGGGGGAUGGAAUUCCGCGUGUAGCAGUGAAAUGCGUAGAUAUGCGGAGGAACACCGAUGGCGAAGGCAAUCCCCUGGGCCUGCACUGACGCUCAUGCACGAAAGCGUGGGGAGCAAACAGGAUAGAAACCCUGGUAGUCC